rnacentral:rRNA from 1 species
UACGUAGGAGACGAGCGUUGUCCGGAAUUACUGGGCGUAAAGCGCGUGUAGGCGGAUGGGCAAGUCUGCUGUGAAAGCUCCUGGCUUAACCGGGAGUGGUCGGUGGAAACUGCUUAUCUGGAGGACGGUAGAGGCUGGUGGAAUUCCCGGUGUAGCGGUGAAAUGCGCAGAUAUCGGGAGGAACACCAAUGGCGAAGGCAGCUCGCUGGGACGGUACUGACGCUGAGGCGCGAAAGCGUGGGGAGCAACAGG